UACAGAGGGGGCAAGCGUUGUUCGGAAUUACUGGGCGUAAAGGGCGCGUAGGCGGCCUGUUAAGUCGAACGUGAAAUCCCCGGGCUCAACCCGGGAACUGCGUCCGAUACUGGCAGGCUUGAAUCCGGGAGAGGGAUGCGGAAUUCCAGGUGUAGCGGUGAAAUGCGUAGAGAUCCGGAGGAACACCAGUGGCGAAGGCGACACGCUGGGCCGUACCUGACACUGAUGCGCGACAGCAUGGGGAGCAAACAGG
rnacentral:rRNA from 1 species